rnacentral:rRNA from 1 species
UCCUACGGGAGGCAGCAGCUAAGAAUCUUCCGCAAUGGGGGAAACCCUGACGGAGCGACGCCGCGUGGGCGAAGAAGGCCGCAAGGUUGUAAAGCCCUUUUCUUGACGAAGAAUAAGUGGGGGAGUGGAACGCCUCCAUGAUGACGUUAGUCGAGGAAGAAGCCCCGGCCAAUUACGUGCCAGCAGCCGCGGUAACACGUAUGGGGCGAGCGUUGUUCGGAAUUACUGGACGUAAAGGGUGCGCAGGCGGUUCAGCAAGCUUGGUGUUAAAUACCCCGGCCCAACCGGGGGGCUGCGCUGAGAACUGCUGGGCUUGAGUUCAGGAGGGGAAGCUGGAAUUCCUGGUGUAGGGGUGAAAUCUGUAGAGAUCAGGAAGAACACCGGUGGCGAAGGCGAGCUUCUGGCCAUGGACUGACGCUGAGGCACGAAAGCGUGGGGAGCGAACAGGAUUAGAUACCCUGGUAGUCCACGCCGUAAACGAUGUGCACUAGGUGUUGGGGCGAUGAAGCCUCGGUGCCGUAGCGAACGUGGUAAGUGCACCGCCUGGGGAGUAUGCUCGCAAGGGUGAAACUCAAAUGAAUUGACGG